ACCACCUGGCCUCUAAGGCUGACUAGUGUGGCUGUUUUGUAUUCUGGUCUUCAGGAAAACUUCAUUUAUUAAAAUACAAAUGAAAUAUCACUACAUCAUACUUUUGCUCCUUCCUUCUGCUUUGGCCUUUGAAGUGCUGGAAUUCUAGCUAUAUGCCAUCAUAUCUGGUAUGGAUAUUUCUGGGCCUAAAGUUUACAGAUAAAACUACACGUAUGGCAAUAAUAGAAAACCUCAUGAAAUUUAGAAACAUUAAAAACACUGCUCAGUAGAGGGAAAAAGAACAGUGACAAGAAAUUCCUACAAGCAUCUCACUAAGCUAAACGGGUAACUCACACUUCACUAAAAACAGUGUGGCCCAAGUAAGAACAGUCAAGUCAGGAUUACAGUGAUUACCACACCUGUUAACUUUCAGCCUGUACUUUAUACAGAUUAAUUUUUAAAAGCUCAGCAUUUCAAGAAUUUUACCUACUCCUGUACAAAGAUAUACUUAACUGUGAUUUUUAAAUGAUUUAUUUGAUAACACCAUUAAGUAAGUACCUUAGCUGGAAAAAAUAUUUCUUCCUGCUUCUACAACUGAGACCUAACCUCUGGCAACAUAGUUAUUUUUAAUAUUAUAUAAUACAAUAAAGCUUAUAAUACUAUAGAAAAGUUUACACAAGUAAAACUUUUUCUACAAAACCCAAUAUUUCCUUAUUUUAACUGAGUUCCAUUGGAAUCAUGUGAAACCUCUCCCAUAAAACUGUUACUUUGUGUGUGCUAUGUGCAUGUGUACCUAACUGUAUGCAUGUGCCUGUGCAGGUCAGAGGGCAAUCUUGGAUGUCAUCAAAAAUACCAUCUACUUUAAGACAAGAUUUUUCAUGGCCCUGGAGCUUGCUGAGUGGGCUCUGCUCCCCAGCCAACAGCCACCCCAGUGCGGGGAUCGCUUUGUUUCUAUGAUGAAGACCAACUUAUCUUGGACUAACCCAGGCUCUGGUCACCCCACUUGGGAACACUCACCUUGUCAUCAUGUGGAUCAUCUACAGCCAAGUCGUGUAUGUCCUGAGUCAGAACCUGAAGGGACGGUGGCUCCUUCUUAACAACAUCGAGAGCCCGCUGUCCCCCCCUGGGCUUCUGUGGCUGCUUCAUCACAGGCUCGUCUUUCCCUUUUCCUUUCUUCCCCUUCUUCCCUUUUUCUUCUUUGUUUGAACCUGCAGACUUUCAAUUCAUAAGGGGGAAAGCAUCAAUGUAAUUAUUAAUAAUACAAAGGUUUUUAAAUAAUUUUACUUUAAUGUUUUGACUCUUAGCUUUUGUUUUUCCUUACAAUUGUGUGUACGCUUAUGAGUGUAGGGUAUCCAUGCCAUAAUAUACAUGUGGAAUUCAGAGGAUGUCAUGUAGGAAAGUUUUCUCUUUUGAACAUGUGGGUUCUGGGAACUGAAUUCAGGUUGCCAGGCUUGGUGGAAAGUAAAGUGCCUCACUGGCCCAAAUAAUGUUAAAUUUUUUUUCUUGAUUUUUUUGAGACAGGGUUUCUCUGUAGCUCUGGAGCCUGUCCUGGAACUAGCUCUUGUAGACCAGGCUGGCCUUGAACAAUGUUAAGGUUCUUAAUGUUUAUCAUAGCCUAGAUGCCCACUGAAAAGCAAGAGAAAUAAUUUAAGAUGUUACUCACUGCUAGCAAUUUCAUAAUAAGUUCACGAUCUUCUUCAUCCUGGUCUUUGUAUUUUUCCUUCAUUUUUUUCAUUUUACUCUGAAAUCAAAAGAUUUGAAAAAAGCAAUAAACAGUAAUUUUUAAA